CAAAAUCUUCAUAUUAAAAAUGAAGUGCUAGCUUUAUUUUUUAUCCACGAUGUUUAUUCCUCUUUUUCUAAUGUUUUCAAAUUUGUCAAAAUGGUGAUAAAGUUCGAAUUUUUGUGGCUAAAUAGAAUUAUUUAGAUAUUUUUGAGUCAUGCAUAGUAUGAUUGUGAAACAAUAUUUUACUUUUAGAUAUGCUAAACUUUAUUCUAAUUUUCUUGCGGCAUUUGGAUUGUUAUAUGUGCUCUUUGUGAGUGUAAAGACUAGAUUCGUGUCUCUCAUUGAUUCAUAAUAUCAAAGGAGAAUCAACGAUGUCUUAGAAAUAUAAAUCAUAGGUCAUUACAUGUUUUUUUUCAUAAAAUUUUGGUUGUAAUUUAGAUGUAUGAAUUUUCAUUAAUGUCGCCUUAAUUGAAAUUAAAGAUUCUUGCUUGAAAUGUUAACCUUUAUUUUCUUUUGUUAUAUAGAUUAGUAUCUAUGUUUGUUCAAUUUUAGAAGUCACAAGUAUUUUCCUUGUUGCCUUAUCCCUUUACUUUCGCAAGCUUACGUUGUUUGUUUCUUGCAUUAAUUCAUUGAAUAUGACCUUCUUCCUUUUACCUUUAUUCAUUUUUGUAUGAACAUAAAUCAUGAGGCAUGUAAGUGGGUGUCUUUGCUUUACAUUUUAUUUGUUGACUCUCAUUCUUGUGCAAGUGUGCUUAUCAUUGUCAUUCAAAAUUGGUUCUUGAUAUUUUCUUUUGCUUUAAAAUAUGUCACUUUUAUGCCUUGAACGUAUAUUAAUUUCUUUAUAUUUUUUUUGAAUGCAAAAAAAAUCUCUCGAGUCCAAACGGAUUCCUCUCCUCUUGCAUUUCGUAAUGGGCAGUGAGGUCUACCCCUUCGAGUCAAGUUCGAAGUUUAAACCCGAGGUCCACUACAUGGCGUUCGGGUGCUAGAAGAUAGACGAAGAAGGAAAAUGGGUCAAAACCCAUUGAUGAGGUCAUUCAGACACUUGAAAAGUCUCAAUUUUUAUUAUUAUCUUCUUUUUAUUUAUUUAUUUAGUCAUUUAUUUAUUCAUUCAUUUCGGUCUCGAAUCCAAAGUUGUAUUUAAUAUAAGUGGAGCAAGACUCGAGGCAGAGGCUCGAAAAAUAGUUUAGGACAGAUGAAAUGGAUCGGAAGCCCAACUAGACUAGGACAGGUCUCGUUGAUUUGGGCUCAAUGGCUUAAAUCCUUUACUUUCUCCUCCCUUCCCCUUUUAUGUGUUUAUUUGUUUAUUAGUUUUGUUUAGACUUAGUUAAAAUCUCUACUAAAUUGCCUAAAUCUAUUUUACAGAAGUCUUUUAAAAAAAAAAUCAAAUCACUAUUUCAACAAAUUAAUCUUUUCAGAAGUUAAUCAAAAGAUGUUUUCAAACAGUCCGGAUAACCGUAAGUUAGCGGACGUUUUCGGUGCCUAACACCUUCCUAAAAUGUUAAUAGGAACCACUUAUCUAGAAUCUCCAACUUAAAAUGAUUUUUCUGUUUUGAAUCGUUUGAAGUAACUCUCUAAAGGUUUCUUAAUUCCUUUUCAAAAUUAAGUGAGGACUCUUCUCAAAAAGUCAAAAUUUCUCCGUAAAACAGAAAUGGCAACUCUGCUGGGGAUUUAUAACUAGGUUCUAACCAAAUUUUUGAUUUUGUCUUUUGAUUAACUGUUUAUGUGUUUAUAUGUUUCGAUUCUGUAAAGUUGAACUAUCGCAUCUUAUGGCAUAUUUCUGCAUUAUUUAAACUGUUUUGGGGUUUCGUGGAUGUCCCGGUCCCUGUUGUUCAAUUCCAAAAUAUGUUGGAAAUACGAACGACUUAUUAGCAAGUGAGUCUUCUAAUAGCUGUUCGUAUUUUCAAAAUCAAGUUGUCCGCUUGAUAACCAAUGUUCAAACCUACUCUAGACACCUAGGAUGGAACAAAACCAAAACCUUAUUUUAGGUAUAAGCCUAGGACGACCCAAUACCCGAGCGGGGUAUUGGGCCCAUUAGAAAACCUGCCUUGCAUCUAUUGACCCCGAGUCAAUUAUAGAUGAACCAUAUUUAUGUGUUGAAGAAAAUGUAUGCUUGUCUAAUUCAAUCCAUUAUCAUUUGGAGGUCGGAAAAAAGCUUGAUUUGCUUACUUUCGUAAGAAUAAUUGAAGCAAGUUAAGCAAGAAAUUGAUCGAUUUGGGAGGUUGCAUUUAAGGCACAGUUUAAACUCAACGGAUGUCACCAAUAUAAGAAAUGAAUGAAGCUAAGAAGGGGAAGGCUGAUAGAAGAAACACUCAAGAAUUAGUAUUUUUUAUCCCCUAUGUGGGAGCAUAUCUUCUUUCAUGUUAUUUCCCUUUCCCUAAAGAUUGUAUCCCCCUUUCGUUAUCUUUUGUAGGCAUUUAUGCCCUUUUUGUGUCUAUAAAAGAUAGGGGAUAAUGGAUUGACCUUAAGCAAGCAUAUAUUUUUUCUUCAAAAAUCGUUAGGCCCAAACCCUUGGCUCAAAAUGGUCACCUAAUUAGGAUGCACAUUUAUUACAAUAUGCUUGUGUAAUAUAACUAUUUAUGUGCUUAUACGUGUUAUGUUGAUUCGAAUCAAAGGCGAACUAAUCCAAUCCCAUUUUCCAUAAAACAUCUCUAGGCAGAAAUAUACCCCACUAUAUAAAAGUCCGACUAAAAGUACUCCAAGUCUCCCAAGUUUCUCAGAAACGUCCGUAGUCAUUCUUAAAACUUCCAAAAUGAUCGCUACCAUUUUAGGAAAGUUGACUUUAGAAUCAAAAAAGCUGUUAUAGUUUUGAACUACGGAGGGCCUGAUUUCUCCUCCGUGAGAUACGUAGGUAGUCUUUCGGCCCGGCCCAUAUCUCCAAAAGCUCUGUUUUCCUCCACUUUCUUGAUGGAAGAAGAAGAGCUGAACCUUCCCGACAAAUUCCACCUAUCCAUAUCAUUGAGUAAAAUCCUGUUCAUUGAAAUCCUCGAGUCAUCAUUAUUUCAUGGAUCAAUUCGCAUGAGAUGAGAAACAACUCUGUGUGUUUACUUCCUCCCUUAUCAUCUUACUUUACUUAUUACUAACGAAAUCUAACAUGUCAGCGUUUGAGUUGUUUUUACUUUGCAGGUAAUAGAAACUACUCUGUGUUGGCACAAAAUGACCCUACUUCACCAGAUCAAAAUGAAUAAGAGAUCCGCUUCUUGACUAUAGUUUUGUUACAGGAAAAGAAAAAUGACUAGUAGUAAAACUGGACUCUACCAAUCAUUUUUCAACCCUAUAAGUGAUAGUAUCGAGGAUGGAAUAAGGGAAAAUAUGAGGAAAGAAUUUUCCAAGACAAUCAGAAUCAUGAAAGAUUAAUUGGAGGAAACAUUAUUGAAUUGGACCUCCACUCCACUCAUGACUCAUCGCCCGUCGCAUAACAGUAACUUAAAACCUACCAUUGUGAUGUCAUGUCAAGAAACAAAAUAAUGGUAGCCCUAGAACAGUCAACAGAAGAGUCAAAGAGUUCGAGAAUCAAAGAAGCCUAAUCUAGAGGAAACCGAGGUGGUUAACUAGGAAGGCGAUGACUCCAUUGGACAUUUGAUCCUUUGUUCUAUCAAGACAAACGCAAUGCAAACUUCAUGUCAUCCAUAGAAGUACUUAUUGAUGUCCUAGGAAGAUGGUUAAGAGUAUUUUUAGGGCCAUUAUUAGUUUAUGUACGAACUACGUUUGACCUGAAUUCCCAAAAAGGGAUACGUAGGCGGUCUAUGUCGGCUUCAGUUAACCCCUUAGGAAAAUUUAUCAUUUCCUUUUAUGUACGAAUUACGUUUAACCUGAAUUCCCAAAAUGGGAUACGUAGGCGUCCUAUGUCGGCUUCGGUCAACCCUUUAGGAUACUUUAUCCUUUCCUUUUAUGUAUGAACUACGUGAUGACCUGAAUUCCCAACAAAAGAGGUACGUAGGCGGCCUAUGUCGGCUUCGGUCAACCCAUUAGAUUUUUCUAUAUAUCCUUAGCGUAGUCUUGAACUACGUUUGAACUGAUUCCUGCUUCAACGAGAUACGUAGGCACCCCAACGGCUCGGUCAUAUAAUCCCAGGAAAUGGAAACUGGGGCAAAAUUUUCGAAAAGGAAUCUCAAAAAUUCACAAGGGAAGAUCGACAUCCAACAAGGAGAAUGAAGGCCAACAAAGACUUUGGAUCUUCUCGAGAUGAUAUCAUCUCAGACUACUUUAAACUGGGGCAGAAAUUUUGAGGAGGUCCUCAAAAUUUCCACUAGUAUAUUGAAAUAUAUUUCAAAUUCCCCAGCACUAGAAGUCGAAGUUGAGAUUUGAGAAUCACCACCUGUGAUAAAGUGUAGGAAGACUGAAUCUCCAUCUUUGAUAAAACUUCUGGUAGAGAGCCUCGACAAUGCUGAAUCCCUAGCAAUCCUCCGUCAAAUGUCGGACAUUGUCAGAAUCAAGAGAAAGAUGGUCGUUGAGCUAACACAUGACAUGACUGGCGGAGAUUUUCUAAAGUUUUGCAGGAGUUUUCGAAACUAUUUUCUAAAAAAUUAAGACGACUUUAAAAAAUCUAUAUAACUCUUUUACUUAAUGAUUUCUUAGGCAUCAAUUAGGACGGGGAGUCAAGGGUGGAAGUCCCAACAUGACGGAGUACCCAAAAGAUGGCGUAGGGCAAAUGGAGAAUCGAAGAAAGUCAAAAUGGAGUAGUUUCACUCAAACUAAUCAUUUUUCUGUGGAUGCAGGGACCAAUACACAAAAAUGAGAGUCUCUUUAAAAAAUCCCCGAGCAAAUUGGGAGCCACACCAGAGCACUAAUGCUCAAGAAAAGAAUUUUUAGGUAGCCCUAAAAAUAGGUUUAAUACCCAUUUAUUGAGGACCUUUUGAAUUGUCCAUCUCAUUUCUUGAGAUCAUGGAGGACAAACAAAAGUGUCUUGUCUCUUUUACAAAUAUUGUAGUUAGAAUUUUUCUAAAACAUAUAGUCACUAGCAAAAGCAACUUUAUGCCUACUAAUCAUCUACCUUGAGUACAGGUACAUGUAGAAAGCAGGACACAGACAAACAAACUCAGGUGAAACUGUUUUCAAGAUCACCUAUGAGUUGAUAGCCUGUAGGUCAUCCGUAAGCCACAACAACAUCCUAACCAGAUAGUGUGCAAGAUCACCCAAAAAUUAAUAGUUUGGAGGUUAUCCAUAAGUCGCAACUAAAUCCUUAUCGGAGAUUAUGCGAGAUUAUCAAAUUAAUACAUCCAAGGGUUCUCUAUAAGCUGCGUCAUAUCCAAGAUCGAUUAUGUGCAGGAUUACCCAAGGACUAGCAAUUUGAGUAAUAUCUAUAAGUCAUAUUGUAUCCAAGGUCAGAUGAUGUGUAGGAACACCUAAAAGCUAGCGAUUGGAGGGAUAUCUGUAAGCCAUCUCUCAUCCAAGGUCGGAUAAUGUGCAGGAUUACCUAAAAGCUAGCAAUUCAAAGGAUAUCUUUAAGUCGCCUCGUAUCUGACAUCAAAUAAUGUGCAAGAUUAUCCAAAGAUUGACAAUUUAAGGAAAAUCUAUAAGUUGUAUCGGUACAAAAGAUGUGCAAGACUUACCUGAGAUCAUAUACAAAAAAUUUCUAUCAAUAACCGGAGAUGUUAUCAUGCCACAUACGACAAGCACUAUAGGUGACUCAAAAGGGUUGCCACUUCAGCAUAAGAUUAAGCGGUUGUAGGGACCAUUCUGCAUAAAAUGUCUUCGUUGUCCAAGAGAGACACCCAUUUUGAAGACAUAUUCAACCGAUAAAUAAGAUAAUUAUGCAACGACCAAGAGAGUUGUUGUGUCUAUUAUUGCAAGUUAUUUCCUUCCAAACAGGUACAUGAAAGGGAUGACUUUGCUUUUCAGGCAAUAACUCACGUGGAGAUAUGGUAAAGACUAUAUACCUCUUUCGUGAAUUAUGUUUAGCACUAACACUUUUUGUUUGAAACAUUAUCGAGAGCAUCCUAGAGGGUGAAAAUCUCAAAUCAAAACCACAGGUGCGGACAACUCCAGAUAGGACGCAGCAUAAUGUGGAACUCUUUCUUAGCAGCAAAACGGAACAUAGUCUAAAGAGGGACGUCAAACUCUUUAGAUGUGAGCUAAAGGAUGAUCGCCAACACCAUCCAACCAUACCCCUGUUAGAACGCAUGUUGGUAGUUUGAGAUAUUUUGGUUUCAGCUUCACAUUCGGUAUAUUUCUAAACUCAUACCGAGAGUAAACUUCUCUUUCUUUCAAUACGGGUGGCAACACACUUAGAGUUUUGGAAAUUAUGUCCAGGUAAGUUCUUGCCUAUGGAUGUAAAGGAUCCCACAUUCAUGGUUAAGAGGUUACAAGACUCUUUUCCGCAACUCGAUCAACUUGUCACGCAUUCCGAGCCAAAGAUAGUCUAAAAUAAAAGACUAUCUUUUCUAUCGAUUGAGUCAAACUACAGGCAGUCUGAUUUCCUGAGUCUCAGGGAUAUGUUGGCUCGGCACUAUGUAGAAAACUCGACUGCAUUCCAACCUUCUCCCCAAAUCCCUUCAUUUCCUACCUUUUUAGUCGUCAAAAACACCAAAAAACUGAGAUGGUGAUUUUUUUUAAAAUCGUGCCUUGAAUCAAGAUUUAUGAACUACAAGUAGCCUAAAUUCUCUUGUAACCAGAGAUAUGUAGGAAACCCGACCUGGGUUCGGCCUUGACUCUAUGAGACUCAUGCAAAAGCCAACCUCUUUCAGUUUCGAAUUUGUGAUUGGACAAAAAUUAGGAACGUCAACCUCCCUUUGCCCAGGGUUACUUGCAUCCACCCUACCCAAAAGGAGGGGGCAGUUGUUGACACCUAAUUUUUGCCCUCCACAACUAAAUUUAAUCCUGAGUUUCUUUGAUUUUUAAUAAAAUUAAAAUAUUUAUUUCAUCCGAAUAAAAAUUUAUUAAAUAUAUUUGUAUGUAAUUUUAUCAUUUUAAGUAGUGAUUAUAAUUUAUUGUAUUAAAUUAUAUGAGAUUUUAUAAUUUUGUUACUUAAAUAUUUAUUUUAUAAAAUAUUAGAUUUUAAUCAAGGCUUAGAGAUUCAAAUGAUUAAAGUUUUGAUUUAAACAUAAUUUACUCUCAAAAAAUAAUUUAUUCGGACAAAUAUGUGUUUGAUUUUAUAAAAUCAUGAAGCCCGGGAUUAAAAGAAGCAUUAAUUCGCAUCGAAUUUCAAUUUAAUUUAGUCAAUCUAUUAGAUUUGACCAUAAUUGAAAUCAAAUUCGCCACAUUAUAUUCCACCUCACCUUAUCUUCAAUUUUGAAAUUUCAAAAACACUCUUAAUUGCUUUUUCUCCCACAUUGGUGGAUGACAAGAAAUAAAUCUUCAUCCUUUACAAUAAAUACUUUUUUCCCACAUUGGUGGAAGAGAAAAAAAAAACCUCAUUCUCUCCUAUAAAUACUACCACUACUUUGGUAAAAAAGGGGGGAAAAAGGAAAAAAAAAGGCUAGAAAGGUGAAAAAAAUACUUUUUGAGCAAAAUAAUUAUUUUUAUUAAAUAAAAAUUUUUGUUUCAUAGAAUUGGUCGGCUAAUAAAAAAUUUCAAGUUGCCGGCGACGUAUUUUUGGAGGUGGUUGAUCCGACGAAGCUCGUAGUCUCGUUUUGCUGCCCCCCAAAAGGUAAACACAUCUUUAUUUUUUAGUUUUAUUUAUCGUUUUUUUCUUCAUCUUUUUUUCUUCAUAGUUCGUAGAUAUAAUUUUGUUUGCUGGGAUUGUAUGUUGUAGAUGACCUUAAAGGCCCUAGGACGUUGUGGUAUCGAUAUUCUAAUUAUUUUCAUGUUCAUGAUAUAAAAAUGAGCUAACAAUAGUUGUAUGUGUCUUUUUUUUUUUUUUACUUUAUCCUUUGAUUAUUUUGGAUAAAGUUUAAAUCUUUGCUUAAAAUAUGUAUUUAUAAUUUAUUUAAAACUCAUUGUUGUUGGAUAUAAUUAUUUUUAGCAUGUAAAUUUAUUUUCUUUACGUUGAAACGAAUAGUUAAUGUUGAAUGUUUCGUCUUUUCACCUUAUUCUUUGAUUAUUUUGGAUAAAGUUUAGAUCUUUGCUAGAAAAAUAUAAUCAUGUCUUGUUUAAACUCAUUAUUGUUGAAUAUGUUUAUUUUUAGUAUGUAAAGUUAUUUUCUUUAUGUUGAAAAGAAUAGUUAAUAUUGAUUGUUUUAUCUUUUGACCUUAUUCUUUGAUUAUUUUGGAUAAAGUUUAGAUCUUUACUUGAAAAGUCAUACCCAAGUCUUGUUUAAACUCAUUGUUGGUAGAUAUGUUUGUUUUUAGCAUGUAAAGUUAUUUUCUUUAUGUUGAAAAGAAUGAUUAAUAUUGAUUGUUUUGCCUUUUGACUUUAUUCUUUGAUUGUCAGGUAUAAAGUUUUGAUCUUUGCUCAAAAGAUAAACUUAUGUCUUGUUUAAAUUUAUUGUUGGCGGAUAUGUUUGAUUUAGCUGUAAAGUUGUUUCUUUUAUGUUGAAAAACUAGUUACUAUUGUUUGAUUCACCUUAAUAAAAAUAGUAAUUGAUUAAAUCAAGAUCUUUUCAUUAAUUGUUAAUUAUUUUAAGGGAUCUCCAAAAUCUUUAUAUAAGAGAUUAAGUGCUAAAAUUAUUUAUCAUCCACAAUGUUUAUUCCUCUUUUUAGCAUGUUUUCAAAAUUUUUAAAAUGGAUUAAAUAUUUUUCAUUUAUCGUAUUCAAUUAUACGAGAUUUUAUAAUUUUGUUACUUAAAUAUUUAUUUUAUAAAAUAUUGGAUUUUAAUCAAGGCUUAGAGAUUCAAAUGAUUAAAGUUUUGAUUUAAAUAUAAUUUACUCUCAAAAAAUAAUUUAUUCGGAUAAAUAUGUGUUUGAUUUUAUAAAAUCAAGAAGCCCGGGAUUAAAGGAAGCAUUAAUUCACAUUGAAUUUCAAUUUAAUUUAGCCAUCUAUUAGAUUUGGCCAUAAUUGGAAUCAAAUUGGCCAUAAUUGUAAUGCAAUCCGCCAAUUGAGUUCUAAUUUGGUCAAAAUUAAAUAAAUAUGGCUAAAUAUUAGGUGGGAUUGUAUGUUGUAGAUGGCCUUAAAGGUCCUAGGGCGUUGUGGUAUCGAUAUUCUAAUUAUUUUCAUGUUCAUGAUAUAAAAAUGAGCUAACAAUAGUUGUAUGUGUCUUUUUUUUUAUUUACUUUAUCCUUUGAUUAUUUUGGAUAAAGUUUAAAUCUUUGCUUAAAAUAUGUAUUUAUAAUUUAUUUAAAACUCAUUGUUGUUGGAUAUAAUUAUUUUUAGCAUGUAAAUUUAUUUUCUUUACGUUGAAACGAAUAGUUAAUGUUGAAUGUUUCGUCUUUUCACCUUAUUCUUUGAUUAUUUUGGAUAAAGUUUAGAUUUUUGCUUGAAAAACAUAAUCAUGUCUUGUUUAAACUCAUUAUUGUUGAAUAUGCUUAUUUUUAGCAUGUAAAGUUAUUUUCUUUAUGUUGAAAAGAAUAGUUAAUAUUGAUUGUUUUUCCUUUUGACUUUAUUCUUUGAUUAUUUUGGAUAAAGUUUAGAUCUUUACUUGAAAAGUCAUACCCAUGUCUUGUUUAAACUCAUUGUUGGUAGAUAUGUUUGUUUUUAGAAUGUAAAGUUAUUUUCUUUAUGUUGAAAAGAAUGAUUAAUAUUGAUUGUUUUGCCUUUUGACUUUAUUCUUUGAUUGUCAUGUAUAAAGUUUUUAUCUUUGCUCAAAAGACAAACUCAUGUCUUGUUUUUAUCCACGAUGUUUAUUCCUCUUUUUCGCAUGUUUUCAAAUUUGUCAAAAUGAUGAGAAAGUUCGAUUUUUUAUGGCUAAAUAGAAUUAUUUUGAUAUUUUUGAGUCAUGCAUAGUAUGAUUGUGAAACAAUAUUUUACUUUUAGAUAUGCUAAACUUUAUUCUAAUUUUCUUGCGCCCUUUGGAUUGUUAUAUGUGCUCUUUGUGAGUGUAAAGACUUGAUUCGUGUCUCUCAUUGAUUUAUAAUAUCAAAGACGAAUCAACGCUGUCUUAGAAAUAUAAACCAUAGGUCAUUACACAUUUUUUCUCAUAAAAUUUUGGUUGUAAUUUAGAUGUAUGAAGUUUCGUUAAUGUCGCCUUAAUUGAAAUUUAAAGAUUCUCUUGCUUGAAAAGUUAACCUCUAUUUUUUUGUUGUUAUAUGGAUUAGUAUCUAUGUUUGUUCAAUUUUAGAAGUCAUGAGUAUUUUCCUUGUUGCCUCAUCCCUUUACUUUCGCAAGCUUGCGUUGUUUGUUUCUUGCAUUAAUUCAUUGAAUAUGACCUUCUUCCUUUUACCUUUAUUCAUUCUUGUAUGAACAUAAAUCAUGAGGCAUGUAAGUG
rnacentral:lncRNA from 1 species